rnacentral:rRNA from 1 species
AGUGAACGCUGGCGGUAGGCCUAACACAUGCAAGUCGAACGGAAGCACAGUAAGAGCUUGCUCUUACGGGUGGCGAGUGGCGGACGGGUGAGGAAUACAUCGGAAUCUACUUUUUCGUGGGGGAUAACGUAGGGAAACUUACGCUAAUACAGCAUACGACCUACGGGUGAAAGCAGGAGAUCUUCGGACCUUGCGCGAUUGAAUGAGCCGAUGUCGGAUUAGCUAUUUGGCGGGGUAAAGGCACACCAUGGCGACGAUCCGUAGCUGGUCGGAGAGGAUGGCCGCCAACACUGGAACGGAGACAGGGUCCAGACCCCUAGGGGAGGCAGAGUUGGGGAAUAUUGGACAAGGGGCGCAAGCUUGAGGCGGCCAGACGGCGUGGGGGAAGAAGGCCUUCGGGUUGUAAAGCCCUUUUGUUGGGAAAGAAAAGCAGCAGGUUAACACCCCGCUGUUCUGACGGUACCCAAAGAAUAAGCACCGGCUAACUUCGU